rnacentral:rRNA from 1 species
GUCANGGUGGGGACUCUAAACAGACUGCCUGUGCAAACAGAGAGGAAGGUGGGGACGACGUCAAGUCAUCAUGGCCCUUACGUCCGGGGCUACACACGUGCUACAAUGGAUGGUACAGCGGGCAGCUACAUAGCAAUAUGAUGCUAAUCUCUAAAAGCCAUUCACAGUUCGGAUUGGGGUCUGCAACUCGACCCCAUGAAGUUGGAUUCGCUAGUAAUCGCGUAUCAGCAAUGACGCGGUGAAUACGUUCCCGGGCCUUGUACACACCGCCCGUCAAGCCAUGAAAGUUGGGGGUACCUAAAGCAUGUUACCGCAAGGAGCG